rnacentral:rRNA from 1 species
AUGGCGACCGGCAUCAGCAACGGCAGAGGCCCAUCGACGAACGACGCGCUCCAGUCGAUCCUCGCCGCCGCGCGCCCGUUCCUCCGCGGCGACCUCGCGGCCGUCGACCCCGAGCUCCCCUCGCUCGUCUCCGUCCUCGUGUCCGCCGGCGCCGGCGAGUGCUACCACAAGCACGGCACCUUCCUCGCCCACCUCCUCGACGUCUACCGGAUCCUUCGCCUCUGGGGCGCGCCCGACGCCGUCGCCCGCUGCGGCCUCUUCCACUCCUCCUACUCCAACUCCUACGUCAACCUCGCCAUCUUCGAGCCCGACGUCAGCCGCGCCCGCGUCCGCGGCAUCGUCGGGGCCGCCGCCGAGCGGCUCGUGCACCUCUUCUGCGUCGCCCCGCGCCACGCGCUCAUGCACGACGACCUCCACCUCCGCUACACCGACGCCGAGCUCCGGACCACCUCGCCGCCGCCGAUGCCUCCCUCCAGGCCGCGCACUCCGGCGGGGGCAGCCGGGGGACAAGGUGGAGCCGUGGCGCGUGAAGCUGCGGUCCGUGGUGCCGGAGGAGGGCGUGGUGGUGCCGCACAUCCGGACGGGGGAGCCGGUGGCGCUGUCGCGGCGCGUGCUGGCGGUGUUCGUGCUGAUGACCGUCGCCGACUUGAGCGACCAGUACACGGACUACCAGGACAAGCUGUUCCGCAACGACGACGGGCGCCUGGAGUUCGCCGGCGACAACUGGACCGCGCUCUGGCCGGGGACCGGAAAGCCCGGGCUGUGGAUGAGCGCCAUGUCCAGGCUCGCCGCGCUGUACCGCCUCAUCGCCACCGACGAGCAGCUCCGCCACAUGGAGGAUGGGACCCCGGCGAACAGAUCGCGGCGAGGGACCUGUACUGGGAGGCGAUCUGCAGCGACGGCAAGGAAGGUGUGGAGUCGCUGCUGCGGCGGUGCAUCGCGAAGAACCCGUACGUGGGGGAGCCGUGGCUGGUGCUGGCUCAGGUGCUGCUGAACGGCGGAGGGAGGUGGGAGGAGGCGGAGGCGGCGGCGGCGGAGGGGCUGAGGCUGGUGCUGGAGUGGGGCAGCAGCUGGGACAAGAGGAUGUCGUGGGAGGGGUGGGUGUCACGGGGGAGGGUGAUGAGGGACAAGGCCAAGGAGAAACAAUGUCCGCGCUCCGCCUGGGGCAUCAUCAACCUCGGACUCGUCAAGCAGAUCCACGAACACAACUAG